CUCUCCCAGCUUCUGGGGCUUUUCUAGUGAACCACUGGACUGCCAGUAGAUUCCUGUUUUUACCCUCCUUGUUUCCAUAAUGCCACCAGUAUCAUUCUCAGCCGCCACGUUCUCCUGGGAGAUCAUGCUUGCCCCCCUGUUCCUCAUCGUCUUGGUCCUGGGGGGCAUAUGGAUGCACAGACGGUAUAAAUGCAGAACUGGAAAAGACUAUGGUUUGAUGGAGUUAAAGACUGGCCAUCCAGACUCGCAAUCCUAUCCGAGUAAAAUAAAGGAAAUAAAAUAGUUCACAUCAAGCCAAGUCCUUUCCAAGGGAAGCAGCUCAGCUUUGUGAAGGAUGCUCUUCUUGUCCUCGGUUGUGUACCAAAGCUACUGUGUUUAUAGUGGGUUUGUAGUGAGAGACUGAAAUGUCCACAUAAUGUUUAUUGUGAAACCAGAUCACGGGAACCAGUGUGCAUGUGGGUGGGUAGAGGCGCCCUUUGAAUAAGAGUUGAAAACAAUGAAAUGAGUUUUGAAAUUCAUUUAAUCAUUCCAUAAAAAUGUGUUAAAAGUUCUAUGUUGGCUAUGCUCUGUGGCAGAUAUUCUAGAUACAAAAAUAGUGAAGGCAUGGUUUUCCUUUUGGAAAGGUGGAAUUUUAUCUCGAAACUGGAAAGGAUGACUUAGAAAUAAUAAAGAGGGAGAAUCCUCAAGAAUUGGUAAAUGCUUUUUUAAAAGGAUGAUCCAGAAAAUGGCAGUGUCAAAUAGAUGGUCUGAAAAAUACAUAACGUACUAGUGAAUGGAGAAAUGGAUUCAGCUUUCGUAAUUAAACUUCUGAAAAUAAAAAGAAAGGAAGAGUGUUGAGAUGAUUGCAUACACAUUGUGGGGAAAAAAAAAAUCACAGCCUCUUUUAUAUAAUAUACCAAAAAUAAAUUCCUGCUAAGUUAAUGAGUUAAAUUUAAAAA